UUUAUUACUUCCUUGUAUUACGUUAUUCUGACAAUGGAAAGAUAAGCUUUUGCAUACGUCUGGAAAAGAAUAUCCUUAAAAUCGGAAUGGGCAAGACAUCCUGAAAUUUAGCAUUGUCUUACAUCCUAUAGAAGAAAUACCUUAGUCUGUCACAGUCAGCAUAUUGACUUUAAGUAUUCAAUAUCCCUUCAGUCAGCAAUAAUCAUGUUAUAAACCUUAUAAAAGCAUAAAAUACAUAUAAACAAGUUAACUAUUUAAUAUUCUUACAUUCCCCUCUUUGAGCAAUAAAACAAUUGCUCAUCUUAUCGAUAAAAUCUUACCAGGACAGAGAAACUUCCACAUGGUAUUUUCAGGGGUGCUAGUCACUCCCUGCGGGACUUUCAUUAAUUUCUUCACCUCGAUUCCCAUGUGGUAAUUCCUAAGGCCCAGUUUAAAGAUGGGUUGAUACUCUACAGUGGCAGAGAGGAGAAUUUCUAAUUGUUUCUGUUCUGCAUUAUGGAUUAAUUUCUGUACUCACUUCCUCAAUGUACAACUAAGGUGACAGUUAUAUAAAAUCAUACACAAUAAAAUCAGGACUAUAAUAACAAAAUGAUAGAAGAAUGAUUUCAUUAUCUGAGAUCCAGUAGGGGACCAACCAGUAAAGCAUUGUACCAAUUAUGGGCUGAAUCAUUCUGAAUUUGUGAACUCACCUUAAGGAGUUCUCCUUUUAGGAUAUGUGUGGCUACCUGUGUGUGUUAUCUUUGGGAAAAAUAUAGUCCCCUGUGUAUGUGGGUGCCCACCAGGUUAAAUUCUUGGCAAAAAGAUCAUAAACUGGUACUGGUAAUGUGUUAAAUUGACAAGCUAAUUUAACAUCCUUUGAUGAUGUAUGAUAUAAUGUAAAAUAGCAUGAGCAUGAAAAAUGUGAAACAUUACCAGUUAACCAUUCAUUGCAUUUAGUGGAUUGGGGUUUUAGAAGUAACCAUUCAUUAUCUGUGAGGUUACACAUUCCUCUAAUCUUCUCUAGUUUAGGAAUCAUUAGUGUGUUUUCUAAUGCCAAUCCUUGUUGUUGUAUCCAUAAAUACCUGAUGGCACAAGUACUCCAGUUACUUAGACCUGUAGUGAAUUUCAUAGUUGCAACAGUUAAAUUAUCUAAAUAAUUAUACAUUGAUUUAUCUAAAUCCAAUCCUAUAACCUGUGAUUUAACAACAAUUGGAGCCCAGUUUGCAGUAGCAUGGAAACCAGUCCCUAUAUGCAUGCUGGCUGUGUUUAACUUAUUCUUGAGGGUCUCCAUAUCUAUAACUAUUUAGUAUACCAUAGUGGUUCCAGCACCAUCUAACAGUGUGUCAUACCAUUCCCUUUUCUGCCUUUGUUUGUUGUAUUACAUAAUGUUACAACAAGAGUAGUGACUUUUAAUGACACAUGUACAGCUUGUAAGAAGGCAGUUGUAUUAACACAUGUGGACGGAAUAGGUGUGUGUGUGUCGUGUUUGACUUUUGGUUCUAUGAUAGUGGAUGAAGGACAGUAAUAAGGUGUAAAAAUAUAAGGUAGUGUAUAGUUCUCAAUUGCAGUGUCGUUCAUAAUGACUAACAUUUGUCCCCUUUUCCAAUUAAUGAUACCAGUUAUAUAAUCAUUAUUAAAAGUAAUAAGGCCUGUCUGUUUACAUUGAUAUGCAACCUUAACUGUGCACAUUUCUGCGUUAUAAGAUCUAACAAUUUUCUGUGAACCUUUAAACAAACAUAAUGCAUCGGUUUCAUUAGCUGUAGACACAUUUCAUAUGGGUAACUGGUACUUAUAAGGGUUACUAUUUGUCCAAUUCAUCCAAAUGCAUUCAGUGAAUGAAUGAUUGCAUAUUACAUGCUGAUAGAAAGGUGGUGGAGAAAGGUUCUUGAGGGGGCGUGUGUGACGAAUGCUAGAUGAGGGGCUAAGGCCUAAUUGGGCUUGGGGUAUUGAAGAAUUGUUCAUCAUGUCAGAGUCUUUUUCCAGAACUUGCCAUUGACUUGUACUCAUAAUGGCAUUCAAGGAACAAUAUCAGAGGGAGUAUAACAACUCCAGAAAG